rfam:Gallibacterium salpingitidis strain F150 contig000076, whole genome shotgun sequence.
AAGCAAAGACAAAAAGCGUUAGCUUUUUGAACGUUGCUUGCAACGACCCGUAGGGUGAGCAAGUGAACAAAGUUCACUUGCAAAUAAAAGUAGGUCGC